UGUGAACCUGCAAACCCAAGUCUGAGAGACGAUCCGCCUUCAGCGCUUUCCAGCUUGGCAGAGAGGCUUUCCCGGCGGGGAUCUUUGGUUGGCGCUGGCGAUGCGCGGGGAAGAAAGGCGAGGAGCGGCGUCCAGGCUGGGUGAUGUCCCAGCACGAGUAGGCGGGAUGCGCUCGCUUGGUCCUCCGGGCGCCCGGUCCCUGCCCGCGUCGCGCGCCCACCCCUGGGGACGAGAAGGCGGCCGCCUGAGGACCCCCGCCCGCGACCUCCGCGAGUCUGGAGCGCAGAGGACAGGGUCUGGCUGCUCUUUGGCCUUGGAUGGAAAGUGGGGAAUUGGGUGGGGGGCUGCGGACCCCUUAACGUGGAUUACUUGGUGUGUAUCAGCUGGGCUCAGAAGACCCACGACCUCUUCUCCAUCCGUGGAUUGAUUUGUUCUGCUUAACAGCUGGGUCGCCAAGCUGGAGGUGGAAUCAGAGGUUUCUGGCUGACUCGGUGGGUGCUUUGAACCAGGAAAGGACAAGAAAGAGGUGCCACCUCCUGAGUCCUGGUUCCUGCGGCUCCGUCGAAUCUGCAGUGAAGGCCUUUGGGAAGCGUGGGUUAUGUGGGUCCAGGGGUCCCAUCCUCCCGUGGAGGCCCUUGACCUGAGGAUCACUAACUCACACCCCACCGACUUCCGGCCCCCAACAAGGGCAGUGUUCCUCUUGCUCCAUUCUGCUCUGAAGUCCCCCAAACCGCUUCCUGGGGCUGCUUAGUGAAAUACAAGGCUCAUCUCUG
rnacentral:lncRNA from 1 species